rnacentral:lncRNA from 1 species
CCCAGCGGCUUUGUUUAGCUACUUAAGCCUCAGCAAUGGUGGGCGCCACUCCCCCAGCCUCACUGCUGCCUUGUGGUUAGAUCGUAGACUGCUGUGCUAGCAAUGAGGGAGGCUCUGUGGGCGUGGGACCCUCCCAGCCAGUUGUGGGAUAUAAUCUCCUGGUGUGCCCGUUUGCUUUAAGCGCAGUAUUGGGGUGAGAGUUACCUGAUUUUCCAGGUUUUGUGUGUCUGAGUUCCCCUGGCUAGGAAAAGGGAUUCCCUUCCCCCUUGUGCUUCCCAGGUGAGGUGAUGCCUCGCCCUGCUUCAGCUCUCGCUGGUCGGGCCGCAGCAGCUGACCAGCACCGAUUGUCCCGUACUCCCUAGUGAGAUGAACCCAGUACCUCAGUUGAAAAUGCAGAAAUCACCGAUCUUCUGUGUCACUCAUGCUGGGAGUUGGAGACUGGAGCUGUUCCUAUUCGGCCAUCUUGCUCCACCCCCCCGAAUGGAUUUUCUUGUCUCUAUCUUGUUCUGUUGGUUGAACUAGUUUACAAUCCCACCAACAGUGUAAAAGUGUUCCUAUUUCUCCACAUCUUCUCCAGCACCUGUUGUUUCCUGACUUUUUAAUGAUUACCAAUCCAACUGGUGUGAGAUGGUAUCUCAUUGUGGUUUUGAUUUGCAUUUCUCUGAUGGCCAGUGAUGAUGAACAUUUUUUCAUGUGUCUGUUGACUGUAUGAAUGUCUUCUUUUGAAAAAUGUCUGUUCAUAUCCUUUGCCCACUUUUUGAUGGGGUUGUUUGUUUUUUUCUUGUAAAUUUGUUUGAGUUCUUUGUAGGUUCUGGAUAUUAGCCCUUUGUCAGAUAAGUAGAUUGCAAAAAUGUUCUCCCAUUCUGUAGGUUGCCUGUUCACUCUGAUGGUAGUUUCUUUUGCUGUGCAGAAGUUCUUUAGUUUAAUGAGAUCCCAUUUGUCAAUUUUGGCUUUUGUUGCCGUUGCUUUUGGUGUUUAAGACAUGAAGUCCUUGCCCAUGCCUAUGUCCUCAAUGCUAUUACCUAGGUUUUCUUCUAGGGUUUUUAUGGUAUUAGGACUAACAUUUAAGUCUCUAAUCCAUCUUGAAUUAAUUUUUGUAUAAGGAGUAAGGAAAGGAUCCAGUUUCCGCUUUCUACUUAUGGCUAGCCAAUUUCCCA